CAGCUGAUGAGCAGUUUCAGCCUCACAAUUGUCUUUUCCUGGCACAGGGAGAAAGUUUGGUACCUGUUCCUGGCCUUGUGGAGGGAUAUCAACAAUUUCUGCAUUUCCAAUUGUUCUGUGGGAUGCGUGGAGUUGAAUGCAGUGGUUAACUGCAAGCAAUAUGUUCUGAAGAUGAUGGUGUUCAGACAAAUACCCAAUUUGAUUCUCAUAAAUUGGAUGCAAGACUUUGACCAGCAUGAGAAGAACAGAGAGAACAAUAUGGAACUAAGAUAUUAUGAAUCCAGUCGGAUCACACUUUGGGCCGACAGCAGAGAAAGCAAAGCCUACAUUGAACCCAUAACUUCUGCUUAUGGAAUAAAAUAUACUUGGGGAUGGUAA
rnacentral:lncRNA from 1 species